rnacentral:rRNA from 1 species
UACAUAGGGGGCAAGCGUUGUCCGGAUUUAUUGGGCGUAAAGAGCUCGUAGGCGGUUUGUCGCGUCUGCCGUGAAAGUCCGGGGCUCAACUCCGGAUCUGCGGUGGGUACGGGCAGACUAGAGUGAUGUAGGGGAGACUGGAAUUCCUGGUGUAGCGGUGAAAUGCGCAGAUAUCAGGAGGAACACCGAUGGCGAAGGCAGGUCUCUGGGCAUUAACUGACGCUGAGGAGCGAAAGCAUGGGGAGCGAACAGG